CUGGUUGAUCCUGCCAGUAGUCAUAUGCUCGUCUCAAAGAUUAAGCCAUGCAUGUCUAAGUAUAAAACAUUUGUACUGUGAAACUGCGAAUGGCUCAUUACAUCAGUUAUAGUUUAUUUGAUAGUACCUUACUACUUGGAUAACCGUGGUAAUUUCUAGAGCUAAUACAUGCGUCAAAUCCCGACUAUUUUUUUUUGGAAGGGAUGUAUUUAUUAGAUAAAAACCAACCGGGCAACCGUUCUUUGGUGAUUCAUAAUAACUUCGCGAAUCGUAUGACUUUAAGUCGACGAUGGUUCAUUCAAAUUUGCCCUAUCAACUUUCGAUGAUAGGAUAUUGGCCAACCAUGGUUGUAACGGGUAACGGGAGAAUUAGGGUUCGAUUCCGGAGAGGGGGCCUGAGAAAUGGCCACCACAUCUAAGGAAGGCAGCAGGCGGCGCAAAUUACCCAAUCCUGACACAGGGAGGUAGUGACAAGAAAUAACAAAUCCUGGGCCUUUAAAGGUCUAGGAAAUUGGAAUGAGUA
rnacentral:rRNA from 1 species